rnacentral:rRNA from 1 species
GAUGAACGCUGGUGGCGUGCCUAACACAUGCAAGUCGAGCGAACCCUUCGGGGUGAGCGGCGGACGGGUGAGUAACGCGUGGGUAACCUGCCCUAUACACACGGAUAACGUACCGAAAGGUACGCUAAUACGGGAUAAUAUUGUUGGAUGGCAUCUUCUAACAAUCAAAGCUCCGGCGGUAUAGGAUGGACCCGCGUCUGAUUAGCUAGUUGGUGAGGUAAUGGCUCACCAAGGCGACGAUCAGUAGCCGACCUGAGAGGGUGAUCGGCCACAUUGGAACUGAGACACGGUCCAGACUCCUACGGGAGGCAGCAGUGGGGAAUAUUGCACAAUGGGGGAAACCCUGAUGCAGCAACGCCGCGUGAGUGAUGAAGGUCUUCGGAUUGUAAAGCUCUGUCUUUAGGGACGAUAAUGACGGUACCUAAGGAGGAAGCCACGGCUAACUACGUGCCAGCAGCCGCAGUAA